UUCUUUUGUUUCUACUUUGUAUGUCAGGAUUCAUCCAAAAUUGAAGCCCUUAUGAAAAAGGGCGAGGAAUCCACUGAUUUGAUACCAAAACUUGAGGACAAUAUUCCAAAACUGCAAAAGUUAUUGCUUGAUGAGGAGAAGAUCUUGCAUGAAAUCACAAAGAGUUCCAAAGGCUACCAAUGAUAUGGACAAAAGGCCAUUUUCCAUGAGUAUCUCAUUUUAUAAAGGUUGUUCUGGUAGUUGAAAACUUGAUGGUUAACAUUGCAUUCACCAUUGUUUUGGUUAUCCAAGAUCACUAGCAUGUAAUCUUUACAGAAUGGAAAUGUUCAAGGAGUACUAAUAGAGAUUGAAGAAAGUCUUAUAAUUGUUGUAAGUCUCCCUUAUUGAUUCUUUCUAUAUAUUCAUGCUAAGAAUUUGAUUUUGGCCUAUGUUGAUACCUGUUUAAUGUAUUUCCAACCAUCAUUUUAACCGUGCAAGGAUUGCUACAACAUUGCAACUA